AAUGAACGCUGGCGGCAGGCCUAACACAUGCAAGUCGAACGGAUCCUUCGGGAUUAGUGGCGGACGGGUGAGUAACGCGUGGGAACAUACCCAAAGGUACGGAAUAGCCUCGGGAAACUGGGAGUAAUACCGUAUGUGCUCGAAAGAGAAAAGAUUUAUCGCCAAAGGAUUGGCCCGCGUUGGAUUAGGUAGUUGGUGGGGUAAUGGCCUACCAAGCCGACGAUCCAUAGCUGGUUUGAGAGGAUGAUCAGCCACACUGGGACUGAGACACGGCCCAGACUCCUACGGGAGGCAGCAGUGGGGAAUCUUAGACAAUGGGGGAAACCCUGAUCUAGCCAUGCCGCGUGAUCGAUGAAGGCCUUAGGGUCGUAAAGAUCUUUCAGGUGGGAAGAUAAUGACUGUACCACCAGAAGAAGCCCCGGCUAACUCCGUGCCAGCAGCCGCGGUAA
rnacentral:rRNA from 1 species